AUUGAACGCUGGCGGCAGGCCUAACACAUGCAAGUCGAGCGGAUGAAGGGAGCUUGCUCCUGGAUUCAGCGGCGGACGGGUGAGUAAUGCCUAGGAAUCUGCCUGGUAGUGGGGGAUAACGUCCGAAAACGGGCGCUAAUACCGCAUACGUCCUGAGGGAGAAAGUGGGGGAUCUUCGGACCUCACGCUAUCAGAUGAGCCUAGGUCGGAUUAGCUAGUUGGUGGGGUAAAGGCCUACCAAGGCGACGAUCCGUAACUGGUCUGAGAGGAUGAUCAGUCACACUGGAACUGAGACACGGUCCAGACUCCUACGGGAGGCAGCAGUGGGGAAUAUUGGACAAUGGGCGAAAGCCUGAUCCGGCCAUGCCGCGUGUGUGAAGAAGGUCUUCGGAUUGUAAAGCACUUUAAGUUGGGAGGAAGGGCAGUAAGUUAAUACCUUGCUGUUUUGACGUUACCAACAGAAUAAGCACCGGCUAACUUCGUG
rnacentral:rRNA from 1 species